GAUGAACGCUAGCGGCAGGCUUAAUACAUGCAAGUCGAGGGGCAGCAUGAUUGUAGCAAUACAAUUGAUGGCGACCGGCAAACGGGUGCGGAACACGUACACAACCUCCCAAUAAGUGGGGAAUAGCCCAGAGAAAUUUGGAUUAAUACCCCGUAACAUAACGAUGUGGCAUCACAUUGUUAUUAUAGAUUUUUCGCUUAUUGAUGGGUGUGCGGCUGAUUAGAUAGUUGGCGGGGUAACGGCCCACCAAGUCUACGAUCAGUAGCUGAUGUGAGAGCAUGAUCGGCCACACGGGCACUGAGACACGGGCCCGACUCCUACGGGAGGCAGCAGUAAGGAAUAUUGGACAAUGGACGCAAGUCUGAUCCAGCCAUGCCGCGUGAAGGAUUAAGGUCCUCUGGAUUGUAAAGCUCUUUUAUAAGGGACGAAAAAAGCUUUUCUAAGUCGUCUGACGGUACCUUAUGAAUAAGCACCGGCUAACUCCGUGCCAGCCGCCGCCGUAACAC
rnacentral:rRNA from 1 species